CUACGGGGUGCAGCAGUGAGGAAUAUUGCGCAAUGGGGGCAACCCUGACGCAGCGACGCCGCGUGAGUGAGGAAGGCCUUCGGGUCGUAAAGCUCUGUCAAGAGGAAAGAAGUGCAUAGCGGUUAAUACCCGUUAUGUUUGACGGUACCUCUAAAGGAAGCACCGGCUAACUCCGUGCCAGCAGCCGCGGUAAUACGGAGGGUGCAAGCGUUGUUCGGAAUCACUGGGCGUAAAGGGCGCGCAGGCGGUUUGGUAAGUCAGAUGUGAAAGCCCACGGCUUAACCGUGGAAGUGCAUUUGAAACUGUCAGACUUGAGUACCAGAGGGGAAAGUGGAAUUCCCGGUGUAGAGGUGAAAUUCGUAGAUAUCGGGAGGAAUACCGGUGGCGAAGGCGACUUUCUGGCUGAGUACUGACGCUGAGGCGCGAAAGCGUGGGGAGCAAACAGGAUUAGAUACCCGAGUAGUC
rnacentral:rRNA from 1 species